rnacentral:rRNA from 1 species
AUGUCUACCCCCGCUUGCAAAGACGGGGCUAAUCUUGACGACAACCAUCCCAACGGGCGACGUGCCAAGUCCAAGCAUGGUCACACAGAUGAUCCCAAUAACCCGUUUAACCCCAAGAACCGCGGGCCAUUCAUCAUGUGUGCCUUCUUCUUUACAUUUAUAAUUUCCCUCUGCUGCAUGAUUGUGAUCGCAGCUGUCAACGAGGCCCAACCACCUGGCGUUGGCGAUCUCUUCGUCCGACUUAUAGGCAAAAGUGGGCUUGAUCCUGGCACCUCUCCGCCGACUUCGCCGGCUUUCCACCUUGCCUUGGACUUCAAUUGGACACCACGAAGAUACCGGCGCUGCAGCGGAGGAGGCAACUCGUUGCUGCGUGUCUCCUACCAUGACAUGAUCCUGGCGUGGGCUCAAGUGCCACAUUUCUGCGUCUACGGCCACUGGGGCAUUGACAGUGUUGGUACCUUCGAGGUGGAGGCCAAGGCGCCUCCGUGCUGCGAGAGGAGGUGCGCAACUUGCUUUGGAGCGAGAUUCAGGUCGUGGGGAAGGUCGAGUUCUACGUGGAAGGAGAGGUGGCGGGCCUAG